UAAGACUCCCCUUAAGAACUCCAUCAUCUGAUCCCCGCACCUAACUCUGAAUCUCGCCUCAUUCUCCACCGAAGAACAUAAAACAUAAAGUUGGUCUCCCGUACUCUCCCAUGGUGUCUCACUCAAAUUCGUUUCAUGGAAAACCCUAACCACAAAAUCUGAUAGCCUCUGCCAACCACCAUUUUUGCCUUGCUGCUAAACGGACUACCUUCCAUCGUCUGAUAAACUCAACACCACCACUCACCGUUUCUUUCUCUAUCUAUGUUCACCAUAGAAUCGAUGAAAGUCAUAAGGUUCUAUUGAUUUAUUUUUCAGGUAAACUAAAUUUUGAGUGUUUGUUUCCUUUUGGAUUUUCGGUUUAUUUGACUUCAUGCCCACAUUUUAAUUUUCUGCUUUGAUUUAAUGCCUAGGAUCGAUGGAUAAGUUGACCACUUUAAAAAGAAGGAAUCCACUUUAAUUGUAAAUAUCCAUCGAUCUACGCACACACAUGUUUAUAGAUCUAUGUUUUUGUGUGUAGAUCUGAGUUGUAAAUACCUCUUUGUAUAGAUCUUAAAAUGAAUAUCAAGAUUGGUUCCAGGGUCAGUAACAGAGGCGUCGGAGGGAGGUGGUGGCGGCGGUUGUAACGGUGACGAAGCUGGCGUAGAUGGUGUCGGCAACCACCAAGCUCCACCGACGUCAUCCCUUCCUUCAACCACAAGCGGCGUUACCAUUGUUAUUGCAUUCAAGCAUUGAUAAAUGUCAAGACCUCUAAGUCGUAGUUGUUUUUUGAACAUGAAUGAAGGUAAGACUCUUAUAUAUUCAUCUCUAUUAAAGCCCGCCUGUCUGUUUUCUUGGUUGUGAUAAUUUUCGUUUUGAGUCAGAUGCUAUCUGACUUCAUGUGUGUGUUUAUUGGGAUGAAAAUGGGAAAGAACGUGAAAGAAUAGGGCUGAUGGAAUGAAAAUCGGAGUGAUGAACAGGAACAAGAUCACUAACUUAUCUGGUGGUUCAUAUUGGGGAAUUGAUAAUUACCUCUAUAUGGAUUGUGUCUCUUGUUGAUAUAUACAACAAGAAAAAGAGAUGUUUAAAUAUAUACCAGUAUGUCAUAUUUAAAUCUCUUUACAUAUUUAAAAAUCAUUUCAUAAUUAUUUUAGUAAUUUAAGCAUUAUUAUUCAUGUUUGAGAUUUUUUAAAACAAACAUUGUAUAGCAUGAUUAUUUAGCAAGUUAAUAUUGUUCUAAAGAG
rnacentral:lncRNA from 1 species